rfam:Lingula anatina scaffold9, whole genome shotgun sequence.
UAAAAGGCCCUUUUCAGGGCCACCACAUCCCUCUUAGAAAAGCUAU